UACGUAGGGGGCAAGCGUUGUCCGGCUUUAUUGGGCGUAAAGAGCGUGUAGGCGGCCACACAGGUCUGCUGUGAAAACUCGAGGCUCAACCUCGAGCUGUCGGUGGAAACCGUGUGGCUAGAGUCCGGAAGAGGAGAGUGGAAUUCCCGGUGUAGCGGUGAAAUGCGCAGAUAUCGGGAAGAACACCCGUGGCGAAGGCGGCUCUCUGGGACGGUACUGACGCUGAGACGCGAAAGCGUGGGGAGCGAACAGG
rnacentral:rRNA from 1 species